UACGUAGGGGGCAAGCGUUGUCCGGAUUUAUUGGGCGUAAAGAGCGUGUAGGCGGCCAGAUAGGUCCGUUGUGAAAACUGGAGGCUUAACCUCCAGCUGCCGAUGGAAACCAUCUGGCUAGAGUCCGGAAGAGGAGAGUGGAAUUCCUGGUGUAGCGGUGAGAUGCGCAGAUAUCAGGAAGAACACCCGUGGCGAAGGCGGCUCUCUGGGACGGUACUGACGCUGAGACGCGAAAGCGUGGGGAGCGAACAGG
rnacentral:rRNA from 1 species